GUGCUUGGUGAGCUGCGUCUGCGAGGUGGGGGAAAGGGAGGAGCGGCCUUGGCAGCAAGGUGGUCGGCAUCGUCGACGGAUGCAUGUUCCUGCAUCAGUACGAGUAUCAAGAAUUUGGCUCUGGCAGAUUAUUAAUGUUGAAGAUCGGCUGAUGAAGAGGACCCUGUUUUGUUGCGGCAGCUAUGUUUUCUGGACGGCUGCUAUGUCAAUCUAUAAAUACUAUCGUGUGGUGCCCUAGAAUUGUUAUCACGUAUUGUAUUUUUGCUUUUUUUUAAAUUUAGGCUUGUAUUGAUCAGAAAUACAAAGUUGGUUUACACUCGGACUUGUUAGUUCCUC